GGGCCCGUAGCUCAGUUGGCAGAGCACUCGACUUUUAAUCGAGCUGUCCCAGGUUCGAAUCCUGGCGGGCCCACCA
rnacentral:tRNA from 1 species